rnacentral:rRNA from 1 species
CAGUCGCCGCGGUAAUACAGAGGGUGCAAGCGUUAAUCGGAAUUACUGGGCGUAAAGCGCGCGUAGGUGGUUUGUUAAGUUGGAUGUGAAAUCCCCGGGCUCAACCUGGGAAUUGCAUUCGAUACUGGGAAGCUAGAGUAUGGGAGAGGAUGGUAGAAUUCCAGGUGUAGCGGUGAAAUGCGUAGAGAUCUGGAGGAAUACCGAUGGCGAAGGCAGCCAUCUGGCCUAAUACUGACGCUGAGGUACGAAAGCAUGGGGAGCAAACAGGAUUAGAUACCCCUGUAGUCCCUGUCUCUUAUAC